GAUGAACGCUGGCGGCGUGCCUAAUACAUGCAAGUCGAGCGAACGGACGAGAAGCUUGCUUCUCUGAUGUUAGCGGCGGACGGGUGAGUAACACGUGGAUAACCUACCUAUAAGACUGGGAUAACUUCGGGAAACCGGAGCUAAUACCGGAUAAUAUUUUGAACCGCAUGGUUCAAAAGUGAAAGACGGUCUUGCUGUCACUUAUAGAUGGAUCCGCGCUGCAUUAGCUAGUUGGUAAGGUAACGGCUUACCAAGGCAACGAUGCAUAGCCGACCUGAGAGGGUGAUCGGCCACACUGGAACUGAGACACGGUCCAGACUCCUACGGGAGGCAGCAGUAGGGAAUCUUCCGCAAUGGGCGAAAGCCUGACGGAGCAACGCCGCGUGAGUGAUGAAGGUCUUCGGAUCGUAAAACUCUGUUAUUAGGGAAGAACAUAUGUGUAAGUAACUGUGCACAUCUUGACGGUACCUAAUCAGAAAGCCACGGCUAACUACGUGCCAGCAGCCGCGGUAAUACGUAGGUGGCAAGCGUUAUCCGGAAUUAUUGGGCGUAAAGCGCACGUAGGCGGUUUUUUAAGUCUGAUGUGAAAGCCCACGGCUCAACCGUGGAGGGUCAUUGGAAACUGGAAAACUUGAGUGCAGAAGAGGAAAGUGGAAUUCCAUGUGUAGCGGUGAAAUGCGCAGAGAUAUGGAGGAACACCAGUGGCGAAGGCGACUUUCUGGUCUGUAACUGACGCUGAUGUGCGAAAGCGUGGGGAUCAAACAGGAUUAGAUACCCUGGUAGUCCACGCCGUAAACGAUGAGUGCUAAGUGUUAGGGGGUUUCCGCCCCUUAGUGCUGCAGCUAACGCAUUAAGCACUCCGCCUGGGGAGUACGACCGCAAGGUUGAAACUCAAAGGAAUUGACGGGGACCCGCACAAGCGGUGGAGCAUGUGGUUUAAUUCGAAGCAACGCGAAGAACCUUACCAAAUCUUGACAUCCUUUGACAACUCUAGAGAUAGAGCCUUCCCCUUCGGGGGGGCAAAGUGACAGGUGGUGCAUGGUUGUCGUCAGCUCGUGUCGUGAGAUGUUGGGUUAAGUCCCGCAACGAGCGCAACCCUUAAGCUUAGUUGCCAUCAUUAAGUUGGGCACUCUAAGUUGACUGCCGGUGACAAACCGGAGGAAGGUGGGGAUGACGUCAAAUCAUCAUGCCCCUUAUGAUUUGGGCUACACACGUGCUACAAUGGACAAUACAAAGGGCAGCGAAACCGCGAGGUCAAGCAAAUCCCAUAAAGUUGUUCUCAGUUCGGAUUGUAGUCUGCAACUCGACUACAUGAAGCUGGAAUCGCUAGUAAUCGUAGAUCAGCAUGCUACGGUGAAUACGUUCCCGGGUCU
rnacentral:rRNA from 1 species